rnacentral:rRNA from 1 species
CAGCCGCCACGGUAAUACGAAGGGGGCUAGCGUUGCUCGGAAUGACUGGGCGUAAAGGGCGCGUAGGCGGAUGGCACAGUCAGAUGUGAAAUUCCCGGGCUUAACCUGGGGGCUGCAUUUGAUACGUGUUGUCUAGAGUGAGGAAGAGGGUUGUGGAAUUCCCAGUGUAGAGGUGAAAUUCGUAGAUAUUGGGAAGAACACCGGUGGCGAAGGCGGCAACCUGGUCCUUGACUGACGCUGAGGCGCGAAAGCGUGGGGAGCAAACAGGAUUAGAUACCCCCGUAGUCCCUGUCUCUUAUAC